CCUGAUUGACGAUGGAUCACCAGUGAGUGGCGGACGGGUGAGUAACACGUAGGUAACCUGCCCCGGAGCGGGGGAUAACAUUUGGAAACAGAUGCUAAUACCGCAUAACAACAAAAGCCACAUGGCUUUUGUUUGAAAGAUGGCUUUGGCUAUCACUCUGGGAUGGACCUGCGGUGCAUUAGCUAGUUGGUAAGGUAACGGCUUACCAAGGCGAUGAUGCAUAGCCGAGUUGAGAGACUGAUCGGCCACAAUGGAACUGAGACACGGUCCAUACUCCUACGGGAGGCAGCAGUAGGGAAUCUUCCACAAUGGGCGCAAGCCUGAUGGAGCAACACCGCGUGAGUGAAGAAGGGUUUCGGCUCGUAAAGCUCUGUUGUUGGAGAAGAACGUGCGUGAGAGUAACUGUUCACGCAGUGACGGUAUCCAACCAGAAAGUCACGGCUAACUACGUGCCAGCAGCCGCGGUAAUACGUAGGUGGCAAGCGUUAUCCGGAUUUAUUGGGCGUAAAGCGAGCGCAGGCGGUUGCUUAGGUCUGAUGUGAAAGCCUUCGGCUUAACCGAAGAAGUGCAUCGGAAACCGGGCGACUUGAGUGCAGAAGAGGACAGUGGAACUCCAUGUGUAGCGGUGGAAUGCGUAGAUAUAUGGAAGAACACCAGUGGCGAAGGCGGCUGUCUGGUCUGCAACUGACGCUGAGGCUCGAAAGCAUGGGUAGCGAACAGGAUUAGAUACCCUGGUAGUCCAUGCCGUAAACGAUGAGUGCUAGGUGUUGGAGGGUUUCCGCCCUUCAGUGCCGGAGCUAACGCAUUAAGCACUCCGCCUGGGGAGUACGACCGCAAGGUUGAAACUCAAAGGAAUUGACGGGGGCCCGCACAAGCGGUGGAGCAUGUGGUUUAAUUCGAAGCUACGCGAAGAACCUUACCAGGUCUUGACAUCUUGCGCUAACCUUAGAGAUAAGGCGUUCCCUUCGGGGACGCAAUGACAGGUGGUGCAUGGUCGUCGUCAGCUCGUGUCGUGAGAUGUUGGGUUAAGUCCCGCAACGAGCGCAACCCUUGUUACUAGUUGCCAGCAUUAAGUUGGGCACUCUAGUGAGACUGCCGGUGACAAACCGGAGGAAGGUGGGGACGACGUCAGAUCAUCAUGCCCCUUAUGACCUGGGCUACACACGUGCUACAAUGGACGGUACAACGAGUCGCAAGCUCGCGAGAGUAAGCUAAUCUCUUAAAGCCGUUCUCAGUUCGGACUGUAGGCUGCAACUCGCCUACACGAAGUCGGAAUCGCUAGUAAUCGCGGAUCAGCAUGCCGCGGUGAAUACGUUCCCGGGCCUUGUACACACCGCCCGUCACACCAUGGGAGUUUGUAACGCCCAAAGUCGGUGGCCCUAACCAUUA
rnacentral:rRNA from 1 species